GUUGUGGAGUCGCUGUGUGUUUCGUUGAAAUUAAACUUUGUUUGGUCUUCCAAAAGAGGACAUGACUAGAAGUAGUAAAGUUGUAUUUCAACACUGUUCCAGAACAGUUCAACCCAAAUAUUCCGAUGUGUGCUGCGCAUUUUAUGGAGGAUGAGGACUGUUUCCUGAACCAGUAGCCUGCAACGUGUCUGUGGCACAACAGCUGUUUCUAUAAAGUUGGUCAGUUUAAACUUUGCAAGGACAGUCUGGCGCUUCUGACUCACAGCCUGUAGGUAACGUUACGUUUUUUAUAUUUAAAUAAUUUGUCAAUGAUGAUUCAAACGUGUGUUUUGAGCAGUGUAGAGCAGGGGCAAGAUUUGAAUAACCCUGGUGUAGACUAAGCUUGUUGUUUGUCAUUUCUCCGAUCACAAAUGCAGACAUGGUUUUAUGUUUACGCAGCGUGAUACGCAACGCGUAAAAAGACAGUAUAAGUCAUUAUAAUUAGUAAUUAUGUCCCCACCGAAUGCAGCAAAUGCUCGUUUGUAAUGGGUUUUAUUGUUUUUGUCUCGUCUAGUGAUGUCCGGAUCGAGAACGAAUCGUUCUAUUUAACCGGAUCUUCUUAGUGAACCGGUUGAACCAGUUUAAACCAGUUCAUUUGAAAUGGUUCACGUCUCCAGUACGCACUAAUCCACAAAUUACUUAAGUUAUUCGGUUUAUAAACGUGCGUUAGACUCCCUCUGAUGCGAAAUAAACCAAUAUCCCGAGUUAUUCAGUUACUCCUAACAGUACAUUGUUUUUGCUUAUUUCCAACUUUUUAAACCAAUCUAUUAUAUUAUUGUUACAUUUAAUAUUUACAUAUAAUUUCUGACUAUUAAAAAGAGCAUUUUAAAUAUAACCUAUUAAAAAGUUUUUUAUAUAUAUUAUAUAUCUUUUUAAAUGUAUUUUUCUAAUUUAAUGUUUAACAAAUUAGCAUAAUAAAUUAUAGGCAACCAUGCUAAAGUACUAUGCUACACUAUAAUCUGCAAUAUUUUUCUUCAUUUCUUUCUGCAUUGACAAUAAAAAAUGAGGAUGCCUGUUCAAAUGAGACAAACUAUUCUAUCUUAUACUAUAGACAACUGUAAUACACUAUAGCUUACUGUACUAUAAUCAAGUGACAUAUUUAGCAGGAUUAAAAAUAAAGGGAAAUAUUUU
ensembl:lncRNA